rnacentral:lncRNA from 1 species
AUCAUCAUUUUAUAAAUCUGACUCAAUUUGGAAUUUAUAUUUACAUAGGUAUUUUCAUUACAUUACAACUAAAAUAAAAUAAAAACAAAAAUAAAAAAAACAAAAAAAAUUAAAUUUGCAUUCUUCCAUUAUUCUUCUAUGCAGGAGUGCCUCUUCCUUUCCUUUUCAAGCUCAUUUUUUUUUACUCGUAAUGCACUCAAUCAAAAAGGGAUCACCUUUUUUUUCUAAUUAUCCAAUGUUGCUUGAGGUUUGCAACAAAGUAAUAGAAAAACAUGAUCUUAAUUAUCUCUUGGACCUAAAGGCUCAUCUUGUAGCCUAUAAAUUGAGAAUAAAAAAAUUUUACAGGCAGUUUUGUUUUCCAAAAAAAAAAUUAAAAUAUAGAAAUUUUUUUCUUUCUUUGUUUCUUAAUAAAGAGAAGAAGUGUUAUAAAAAUAGAGAAGAGAAGAUAAAGAAAUUCAAAAAUCUACUCUCCUCCUUCAUCAAAUAAAAUCAGAAUCAUAAACAAACUCAAAUUCAUUUCAACAACAUAACGAAAAUCAAAUAAAAAAGAUAAAAUAGAGAAGAGAACCGUUACGCCACACACCACCGCGAGGGCUGCUUUUACGCCGCACCGCCGACACGUGACUCCUCCCAUACCACGAACCACCAUCACCUUCAUGACCCCUCAUUCGCAUGCAAAUCUGGCAGGCUACCGCUCCAUCCACGACUACAUCUUGCUGAUUUUUUUUUUCUUCCUCACUUUCUCUUUCUUUGCUUCACUUCAUUUGAAAACCGUAUUUCUCUCUCUGCAUAGCACAACCACAUCAUGUCAUUCAUAUUGAUUCCUUUAGGAUUUUCUUUCUCCAUUUUGGGUUUUGGGUUUGUUAUGUUUUUUUAGUUGAAUGCUCAACUCAAGUCCAC